UACGUAGGGUGCGAGCGUUAAUCGGAAUUACUGGGCGUAAAGCGCGCGUAGACGGUUUUGUAAGUCAGAUGUGAAAUCCCUGGGCUCAACCUGGGAACUGCAUUUGAGACUGCAUGGCUAGAGUAUGGAAGAGGGAAGUGGAAUUUCCGGUGUAGCGGUGAAAUGCGUAGAUAUCGGAAGGAACACCAGUGGCGAAAGCGACUUCCUGGUCCAAUACUGACGUUCAUGUGCGAAAGCGUGGGGAGCAAACAGG
rnacentral:rRNA from 1 species